rnacentral:rRNA from 1 species
UACGGAGGUUGCAAGCGUUGUUCGGAAUAACUGGGCGUAAAGGGAGCGCAGGCGGCUUUGUAAGUCUAAAGUGAAAACCCAGGGCUCAACUCUGGAACUGCUUUGGAUACUGCAAGGCUUGAGUACGUGAGAGGAGAUUGGAAUUCCAGGUGUAGCGGUGAAAUGCGUAGAUAUCUGGAGGAACACCGGUGGCGAAAGCGGAUCUCUGGCACGUUACUGACGCUGAGGCUCGAAAGCGUGGGGAGCAAACGGG